AGGCGAAAACACUUUGCCAAAUUUCACUUUGGCACCAAAAUAUUUUGUUUUAAUAAAAAAUAAUAACUGUUUAUGGCCCAAGUCAUUUCCUUCCUUGGAAGAAAAAAAGAAAACUUCUUGAUUAUCUUUUUCUUCUUCUUCGUUGUUUACUUCAAUCUAAUCUCUUCAUCCUCCAUAUUCUUCAGUUUGUGUUUAUUCUUCUUCUUAUUCAUUCCAAUCCAAGGGAACCCUGAUCUGUCUUUCCCAAAGUCCUCCAUUUUGCACUCUGUAAAUCAAUCAUCGUCGUCUCCACCAAACCCUAAACCUCGAUCUCUCCUUGAACGACGAUUAUGUCUCAUAAUCAUCUCCGCAAGACCUCGCAACCCCCUCAAUUUCACUCCUUCCUGCGUCGCCUCUGAUUCGAUAAAGGAGAGACGGAUGCAGCAGAGACAGCCAUACAUUGCUGAACAUCUAGAGGAAAUCUUGGAAGGAAACAGAUAUGUUAAAGGUGGAAACCGUUACUGGAAGAACAUUGUAGAUUUACCUCUGAACUAGUGUUCAGACUAACGAAGAGGUCGCAAUUAAGCUCGAAAGUGUGAAGACUGCGCAACACCAGGAUAUAUAGUGUUGUUCAGAAAGAGUUUGGUUUGUGCUGAUUGAGAAGCACUGAUAGAUGAAGUCACAGAGAAGAUUGAGAAAGAUCUGGUUCUUCUUGGAGCUACAACUGUUGAGGAUAAACUCUAAAAUGGGGUAAGCUGCUAUUACACAACCUAAGUUACAGAUUGGUGACUGGUGAGCUUCCUUGAGUUGCUCAAGCAGGAAUAAAUAUUUGAGUUUUGACAGGAGACAAGGUGGAGACUGCUGUCAAUAUUGGCUUCUCUUGAAAGAGUCAGAUGCGAAGCAUCAGAAUGUUGGACAAGAAUAGAUGUUAUGUGAAGUGUCCACUCUGUGAGAGGUUUCUGUGUGUGGGACUGUGGUGUUCCUUGGCAUGAUUCUGUGAGCUCUGAAGAGUUUCAGAUUCUUCCGGUUGAUGAAAGAUAUCCAGAUCAUUGCAUCACUUGGCUAGGUAUAAGAGAUGGAUACAGUGUUUGGUUUUGUGGUUUCUUAUAUCAAUGUUGAUAUCUCUCUUUGUGUUCUUUGCCAUGAGCUUUGCUACUGUUGUGGAGCAGAGUACAGAGAAGGACAACAUAGUUGCACUUGUGACACAUUCAACUCAAUGCCAAGGGUAAUGGACGCUUACUCAGAGCAAGAAAGAUCUCAGCUAGCUCUGAUCCAACGGUUCUUAGUGGGUGAUUGGAUUUUGAAACAUGAAACCUUUUUUGUUUCAGGAAGAGUUGUUGAUGGCAGAGAGAUGACUGUUCAGUUUCAUGAAACCUUUCUAUGUAUAUGAGUAUUUCUGUCUUAGAUUUGCAAACACACUUAUGUUCCAAGUCUUUGGUUUUUUUCAGUUUUAUCUGAGAUGACUCUUGAGAUUGAAGUUGUUUGAACUGUGUAUAGGCAGGAGCAAGAGAUGUAUAUUUUUCAGUUUCAUCUGAGAUGAUAAUUGGAUUUUUGUUAGUUUAUAUAAACCAUAUAUGCCCGUUAUUAAUAUAACAAUGCAAAACUGAUUUUAUAUAAUUAAUUAGAUAUAAAAUCAUCAUUUAUUGUAAAAUAAUUGUAUUUUUAAUUUAUAUGAUUGAGUGUAAAAUUAAAAGAUAAAAAUUGAUUAAUUAGAGUUUUGUUUAAAAUAUUUAUAUAUAUAUAUACUAAUUUAGGGGUUCAUAUGUUUAGUGUGAUACUAUUAUAUCAAGUUUGGCGUAGUCAAACUUAAACCCCUAAACUUUGCUCUAAACCCUAAACCCCAAAACUUAACCUUAAACUAUAGACAUAUAUCAUAACCCAAAUUAGUCAUAUACAGUAAACUCUAACUAAAAAUCUUAAAAUUUUAAAUGUAUACCAUACCACAGAUCAUAUAAAUCAUACUUAUAUCAUAAACUCACAUCUUUAAUCUCUAAUUUUAAAUAUAAAAAUAAAUAUAAGUAGUUGUUAAAAAAAUAAAUUAUAUAACCAGUGGUUACAAAAGUUAAAUUUUAAAAUCUUAACCUCAUACUUAUAUAGCUAAACUCUGAAUCCAUACUACAAAUUUCAAACCAUAUAUAAUAAACAUAACCUUUAAACUUUAAAUUUUAAUAUUUUAGUUCACAUUUAAUCAUAUACUUCAUUCUAAAUCUUAACCCUAAACCAUAAACCAAAUACCUCAUAUUAACAUAUAUCAUAAUACAUUAAAUCUUAAUUUUUAAAUAAAUUAUAUUCAUACAAGAAAAACAUACUACUCCAAACUAACAACAUUUCACAUUAUACAUUUACAAAAUAAAAUUAAACCACCAAAUAAUAAACCAAAAAAUACAAUCUAAUAUUUUCAGUCAAACCCUAAACCAUAUAUAUAUAUAUAUAUAUAUAUAUAUAUAUAUAUAUCAUACCCCAACCAAAUACCUCAACAUAUAAUAUUAAUUAAUAAAUUUUUAAAACUAAACUAUAAAAUAUUGAUUAUAAAAUCUUUGUUUUAUUCAAACAUCAAUUUUAAAAAGUUAUAAACCAAAAGUCAUCAAAAUGUUGAAAAAUAGAACAACAAAAGAUAAAAACAAAGAGGAAAAAUUCUAUUGGAUAACUAAUAAAUAAAAAGGAAAAUUACAGGUCAAUCCGCUCUCAUCACGCGGAUCACUCUCUGAGCCGUAGGAUACAAAUAGAUCAAUGGAUGAGAUUUUCUUAUUUUCUUUUUCCCUUUUCUUUUUUUCUCUAUCUCUCUCUCUCUCUCGCGCUCUUAUCUUCACAGAUCUUUUUUUUAGAUCUCUCCACCUUCGACAAAUCUCUUUUAUUUUACAGAUCUCUUUUUCUUAAUCAUCUCAUACACACACAGCACUGUCUUACUCUCCUAACCUCACUCACACACGAUUCAUCUCACAGACAUCUCUCUGUUUCACUCUCCUAAUCUCUCUGUCUCACGCACGACACAUCCCCAACCAUCUUCUUCAAAAAGCGACGGUGGAGGCGCCAAAGCAAUGGUGGAAGCUGCAGCAGACUCGUCUCUGGUCAAGCACUGCGUUGGCUUCACCUCCUCACCACCACCACAGGAGCAAGGGAAGGAGAAGCAGUGGUGUGACAUAGCGGCGUUUCCGGAUCAAGCGUGGUGCGGCGGUGAGGUGGUGGUCGUGCGGUGGAGAUGCGAGCAUCAUGGUCGGCGGAGACUGAAGAAGAAUGUAGUUUGGUGGCCGUAUUAGGUUUAGUUAGGGUUAAUUAGUUAACCAAUUUGUAAUUCUAAACCAAUUUGUAAUUGUACCAUUUUGUAAUUGUAAACCAUGUAAACCAAAA